rnacentral:lncRNA from 1 species
AUGGUUUUCGUAGCACCUCUUCGGCAGAUGUCAUCUGGGAGUGUUCCUGGCUCUUCUGGAGAGAGCAUGAUUUACUAUCUCCUUGCUGGUGUUGCUGCUUUUGGUGGUUUAUAUUACGCUUACAGAACAGUCAGUUCAUCCCGCAGCAAGUAUAUUGAACAUAUGAAUAUUCUUCAUGAAAGAGCUGAGGGGCGGAAAAACAAACCUCUUUCACACAAGGGUGAUGAAGAGGAGACAACUGAAGUCACUGAAGCAGAAGCAGCCACAGAAGCGACUGAUACAGUAACUGCUGCUGGACCUGCAGCACAGGAUGAGAGUUCUGAGGUAUCCUCAGAAACUGGAGGGGAGAGUGGCUUACCAGCUGCUGUGGAGGGAACACAGGAGGAAGCUGCUGCUAACUUGGAAGCUGCUGCUAAUUCAGAAGCUGCUGCAGUGCAAGUUUCCACGGAAGAGACGACACCUGAAGAUGUUGCUAAGGAUUCCUAAAGUGAGCAGCAUUGAAGCCUUUGAAAAGUUUAAUGGAAAUAUUUGGGCAGUCAACCAGCGGAUUCCUGUGCGAAACCUCGUACUCUGCCUUGGAGACAUAAAACAAAUUGUGCAGUUUGUCAUACCACACACUGCUUAUUAGGAUGAGUAUUCAUUACUGAAACAGACAACCUAAUACGAUUUAAGUUGGUUAGAGAGAUGCUUCUGUAAUUAACCACUCUGUUUUAGAAAGGAGCAUGUAGUAAUAAAUGUCAAAGCACCAUCCA